rnacentral:rRNA from 1 species
UACGUAGGGCGCAAGCGUUGUUCGGAAUUACUGGGCGUAAAGCGCACGUAGGCGGCUUUGUAAGUUAGAGGUGAAAGCCCGGGGCUCAACUCCGGAAUUGCCUUUAAGACUGCAUCGCUAGAAUUGUGGAGAGGUAAGUGGAAUUCCGAGUGUAGAGGUGAAAUUCGUAGAUAUUCGGAAGAACACCAGUGGCGAAGGCGACUUACUGGACACAUAUUGACGCUGAGGUGCGAAAGCGUGGGGAGCAAACAGG